GCAGACGUGGCGGAAUUGGCAUACGCGCUAGACUAAGGAUCUAGUCCAUAUUGCUUGGGUGCGGGUUCAAGUCCCGCCGACUGCACUA
rnacentral:tRNA from 1 species